GAUGAACGCUGGCGGUAUGCCUAACACAUGCAAGUCGUACGAGAGUUUCUAACUCUAGUGGCGGACGGGUGAGUAACACGUGAGAAUUUGCCUUUAGGAGGGGGAUAACAAUUGGAAACGAAUGCUAAUACCCCAUAUGCUUUUGAGUGAAAUGGAUUUUAUCCGCCUAGAGAGAAGCUCGCGGCUGAUUAGCUUGUUGGUAAGGUAAGAGCUUACCAAGGCGACGAUCAGUAUCUGGUUUGAGAGGACGAUCAGACACACUGGAACUGAGACACGGUCCAGACUCCUACGGGAGGCAGCAGUGGGGAAUUUUCCGCAAUGGGCGAAAGCCUGACGGAGCAAUACCGCGUGAGGGAAGAAUAGCCUAUGGGUUGUAAACCGUCUUUUUU
rnacentral:rRNA from 1 species